UUUCCUAUGAGGUCCUCUCUUAUUGUCUUUGGCCUGCUUCUUAUCUUUUGUUUCCGCUUCGGCAGGCCAUUAAAGCAGGGGGAUUGUGCAGUUUGUAUGUCUGCUUUGGAAAAAAAUUGAAAAUGCUGUCGAUAAACUUAGAGACAAAGGCACUAUAGAGGAGCUUGAUGACUUUGUUAAAAACUGGUGCUCCAAAGCAAAAGGAAAAGAGGAAAAAUUCUGUUAUUAUAUAGGCGGUUUGGCUACUUCUGCAACGAAAAUGUUGAGAGAUUUAACUAUGCCUUUAAAAAAUUACAUACCCUCGUCUAAGAUUUGUGAACGUUUGAAAAAAUCGAAUCCUGUAAUUUGCGAACUUAAGUUUGAUAAACCCAUCGACUUGACGGGUGAUCUUAAUAAACUACGCAUCGGAGAUUUAAAGAAAGUUUUAUUGGAUUGGGGCGAGGACUGCAAGGGUUGCUUAGAGAAAUCAGAAUUUGUUGCUAAAGUCAAAGAGCUUCUUACCCAACGCGCUAAGUCAAACUCUGAGUUAUAAU